rnacentral:tRNA from 1 species
GGGGCUGUAGCUCAGAGGCAGAGCACUUCCCUAGCAUGUAUGAGGCACUGGGUUCGAUCCUCAGCAUCACA